GUGAGGAAUAUUGCGCAAUGGAGGCAACUCUGACGCAGCCAUGCCGCGUGCAGGAAGAAGGCGCUACGCGUUGUAAACUGCUUUUAACCGGGAAGAAACCCCAGGACGUGUCCUGGGUUGACGGUACCGGAGGAAUAAGCACCGGCUAACUUCGUGCCAGCAGCCGCGGUAAUACGAAGGGUGCAAGCGUUAUCCGGAUUCAUUGGGUUUAAAGGGUGCGUAGGCGGAGCGUUAAGUCAGUGGUGAAAUCCUGCAGCUUAACUGUAGACUUGCCAUUGAUACUGGCGCUCUUGAGUGCGCUUGAAGUGGGCGGAAUGUGCCGUGUAGCGGUGAAAUGCUUAGAAAUGGCACAGAACACCAAUUGCGAAGGCAGCUCACUAAGGCGAUACUGACGCUGAGGCACGAAAGCGUGGGGAUCGAACAGGAUUAGAAACCCUAGUAGUCC
rnacentral:rRNA from 1 species